UACAGAGGUCUCAAGCGUUGUUCGGAUUCAUUGGGCGUAAAGGGUGCGUAGGCGGCGCGGUAAGUCGGGUGUGAAAUUUCGAGGCUUAACUUCGAAACUGCAUUCGAUACUGCCGUGCUUGAGGACUGGAGAGGAGACUGGAAUUUACGGUGUAGCGGUGAAAUGCGUAGAUAUCAGGAAGAACACCAAUGGCGAAAGCAGCUCUCUGGGACGGUACUGACGCUGAGACGCGAAAGCGUGGGGAGCGAACAGG
rnacentral:rRNA from 1 species